AGUUAAAGACUCGCUCAAGUUUAGAGGCCCCAUCAAUUGAGAUGAUCUUGACUUUUGAAGGAGAACAGGUGAUACUAAGAGGAAAUAAGCUUUUCAAGUUGCUGCACUUAUAAAUUCUUAUAAUUUCAAGACUGGGGAAGGAUAUAGGUUGGAGAUGAGCCUGUGAUGAUGAUGCUGAAGUUUGAUCCAUUUCAAUGAUUUGUUCCAAUUCCUCACAAUGAUUUAUCUCCAAAUGGAUCAAAUGCGGCAAAUUUCGAACAAGCAUAGGAGAGAGGAGGUAUUUCAACCUAUUACACUUUGACAUAUGUAACCAUCUAAGACAUUGAAGGCUUGCAACUUGGAUGGGACCCUGCAACUGAUGUAAAUGCUCUAGCUGUAUAUUCUCUACCCUUGAGAAGAAUUGUCCAGCUUGCAUUUGAAAUAUCUUCACACAAUUUCCAACAGUUAUAUAUUCCAAAUUUACUAAACUCCAUCUUGAUUGAGAAUUAAUUGUGUUGCACCCCUUGUCAUUUCCCAAGUCAGAGAGGUAUAAUUCCUGCAAAGAUAUUAAAAUAUCUUAAUUUCAUUAGAAAUUGAAUAAAUUACAAAGGUCCAACAUAUUGUUACAUAAAUAUUGAAAGAGAAAAGUGCCUUGAAUCCCAAAGAAAGUACACAUCACUCUAUGCAUCUAAUGCCUCAUAAAUCAAGCAAUUACUUUAAUAUUUGUUUGAUUAUAAGUUUACACUGUGAAACUUGAUUACAAAGGUCGAUUAACAUAUGACUUGAAGAGUACAAAAUCGAAAGCGAACCUUUUUUGUAUGAAAUGAGGGAAAUAGCAAUUUUUUCUGUAUAUCAAUCUGGAAAUAGCACCCAGUCGUGCUUAGUUCAGUAUAAGUGCAAACAAAGUGGGGAAGGUAUUUUUUUUGUUUACAGGUUCUUGGAUGGGGAGAUUUUGUACUGAUAUUAUAUCUAUUGCUACAUUUCAGGGGUGAUGUUCUGAUCGCCCAUAUUAAUGCAUAUUAACUUUCAGAUAAAAAAACGAAAAAAAUCAGAAUUAACUUCUAAACUAAUGUGCUAUUCUUUUUUUUGCUUUUAAUUCAUGAGUUUUGAUUUUUAUAUUCAUCAAAAAUAAAGAGUAUAAAAUUAUUUUAAUGGCAAUUUUAAGAUAUCGUUGAAUUAGUUUAUGAAGGUUGAAAAGAUUUGAGUCCAAAGCAAAAUCUGGAACCACAAUUGAGGGAAAAGAGUAUAAAAAAAGUACCUUUAGUUGAGCCUGCUGGUUAACUUCUUUUUGAAUGGUGAAAUUUGACAAUUUAAGACAAUUGAAAACUACCAACUUCUCCAAGGAAGGCGCUGCAAUGAGAAAAUUUUUCCGAGCAAAAGCAACUCAAAUUUAUCAAGUUUCCAAGCCGGAGAUCUUGUAGGCAAGGGAGCACAAUGGCACGACCAACUCCAUUCUCUUCUUUUGUCACAUUGAACAGUUGUUGUAACUGAGGAGAAUUGCUUAUCCAAACGAAUUUCAACCGUGGAAGAACUUGAGCCAAUGGAGUUUGAAAAACAUAUUCCAAUUUUGGACAAUCACUUAUGGUAAGAGUUUCCAAUUUUGGCAAGAGCGGAGAAUAGGGAUGGUCUUCUGAUUCUAUUUCAUCAUCAAAUUCCAACUCAGUGAUAAUGUGUUGGAGUCCAUUGCAAUGAUCUAUCUUGAGUUGUUCAAGGAGCACCAAGCUUUGAGCAAGGAAUGGUGAGAAGAGAUAUUUCAAUCUAUUGCAAUAACUAAUUUCUACAAACAUCAAGCUUUGGAGGCUGACAAAAUGGGUGGACCCUUUCCAUAUCAACUUCAAUUCUGGUAAUGAGUGCAACUCCAUGAGUGUUAAAUUUGACAGCAGUGGUCCUUGAUUUUCUUUUGUAUCAUGUAGAAUCUCAUCUGUCUGAAAUACUUCUUGCAAUUGGCCACAAUUAAUAACUUUCACUUCCUUUAGAUUUUGUAGCAUAGGAGAUAAAGAGACCAUUUCCAUGCAAUUCGUUGCUUCCAACUUCUCUAGUUUUUGUAGAAAUCCCUUUGGAAUCAGACCGUUGCACAACAUUUUCAAACCAGUCAUUUCUUCUAUGACUAAUUCCACCAAAUUGAAGAAUGUAUUGGUUGAGACAUGGCCUUGUGUUGUAUCAAUCAAGCAUUCCAGCUCCUUGCCAUCUUUAAUUAGAAGAAAAGUUAAUUCAUUCAGUCCCUUUGGAUCCACAUUUGGAACCAGAUUUUUCUGAUACAUGACUCCUUUCAGCGUAAGACUUUUGGCAUUGUAUAAUAAAUCCUUCAUGGCAUGCAAUCCAAGGUCCUGAUAAAUUCACAACAAAAUGCUUAGUCAGGCAGAUUUUGUGCUGGUAUCUACAUUGCUACAGUGGUGUAACACCUCAAAAUCCUUUUACACAUUUCAGGGGUGAUGUUCUGAUCACCCAUAUUGAUGCAUAUUAACUUUCAGAAAAUCAGAAUUAACAUGCUAAUUAAUAUGCAAUUCUUUUUCUCACAGCAAUUUUAAGAUACCGUCGGAUUAGUUUAUUAAUGUUGAAAUAUUUGAGUCAAAGGCAAAUUUUAGAGCCACAAUUGAAGGAAAAGAGUAUAAAAGAAGUACCUUUAGUUGAGCUUGCUCGUUAACUUCUUUUUGAAUGGUGAAAUUUGUCAAUUUAGGACAGUCCCAAAAUACUAAAUUCUCCAAGGAUGGCGAUGCGAUGAGAAAAUUUUCUGAGAAAAAGCAACUCAAGUUUAUCAAGUUUCCAAGUUGUAGCUGUUGUAGGCAAGGGAGUGCAAUGGCACGAUCAACUCCAUGCUUUUCUUUUGCCACAUUGAAGACUUGUUGCAAUUGAGGAGAAUCGCUUAUCGAAACGAAUUUCAAUCGUGGAGGAACUUGAGCCAAAGAAAUUUGAAAAACAUAUUCCAGUUUUGGACAAUUACUUAUGGUUAGAGUUUCCAAUUUUGGCAAGAACGAAAAAUGGAGAUGGGCAUUUGUUUCUAUUCCAUCAUCAUAGACCAACUCGGUGAUAAUGUGUUGCAGUCCAUCACAGUGAUCUAUCUUGAGUUGUUGUAGCAGUACCAAGCUUUGAGCAAGGGAUGGUGAGAAGAGAUAUUUCACGCUGUUGCAAAAACUAAUUGCUAAAUACUUCAGGCUUUGGAGGCGAACAAAAUGGGUGGACCCUUUCCAUAUCCACUUCAAUUCUGGUAAUAAGUGUAGCUCCAUAAGUGUUAAAUUUGACAGUAGGGGUUCUUCUGUAUCACGAAGAAGCUCAUCUAUUUGAAAUACUUCUUGCAACUGGCCACAAUUAAUAACUUUCACUUCCUUUAGAUCUUGUAGCGCGGGAGAUAAAGAGACCAUUUCCAUGCAAUUCGUUGCCUCCAACUUCUCUAGCUUUUGUAGAAAUCCCUUUGGAAUCCGACCGUUGCACAACAUUUUGAAACCAAUCAUUUCUUGCAUGACUAAUUGCACCAAAUUGAAGAAGGCAUUGGUUGAGACAUGGCCUUCUGUUGUAUCAAUCAAGCAUUCCAGCUCCUUGCCAUCUUUAAGUGCAAGAAAAGUUAAUUCAUUCAGUCCCUUUGGAUCUACAUUUGGAACCAAAUUUUUCUGAUACAUGACUCCUUUCAGGGUAAGACUUUUGGCAUUGUAUAAUAAAUCCUUCAUGGCAUGCAAUCCAAGGUCCUGAUAAAUUCACAACAAAAUGCUUAGUCAGGCAGAUUUUGUGCUGGUAUCUACAUUGCUACACUGGUAUAACACCACAAAAUCCUUUUAUACAUUUCAGGAGUGAUGUUCUGAUCACCCAUAUUAAUGCAUAUUAACUGUCAGAAAAUCAGAAUUAGCAUGCUAAUUAAUAUGCAAUUCUUUUUCUAACAGCAAUUUUAAGACACCGUUGGAUUAGUUUAUUAACGUUGAAAGAUUUGAGUCAAAGGUAAAAUCUAGAACCACAAUUGAAGGAAAAGAGUAUAAAAGAAGUACCUUUAGUUGAGCUUGCUCGUUAACUUCUUUUUGAAUGGUGAAAUUUGUCAAUUUAGGACAGUCCCAAAAUACUAAAUUCUCCAAGGAUGGCGAUGUGAUGAGAAAAUUUUCUGAGAAAAAGCAACUCAAGUUUAUCAAGUUUCCGAGUUGUAGCUGUUGUAGGCAAGGGAGUGCAAUGGCACGAUCAACUCCAUGCUUUUCUUUCACCAUAUUGAAGACUUGUUGCAAUUGAGGAGAAUCGCUUACCCAAACGAAUUUCAAUCGUGGAGGAACUUGAGCCAAAGAAAUUUGAAAAACAUAUUCCAGUUUUGGACAAUUACUUAUGGUUAGAGUUUCCAAUUUUGGCAAGAAUGGAGAAUGGAGAUGCGCGUUUGGUUCAAUUCCAUCAUCACAGUCCAACUCUUUGAUAAUGUGCUGCAGUCCAUAGCAGUGAUAUAUCUUGAGCUGGUCAAGAAGCACCAAGCUUUGAGCAAGGGAUGGUGAGAAGAGAUAUUUCAAGCUAUUGCAAAAACUAAUUUCUAAAAUCUUCAGGCUUUGGAGGCGAACAAAAUGGGUGGACCCUUUCCAUAUCCACUGCAAUUGUGGUAAUAACUGUAGCUCCAUAAGUGCUAAAUUUGACAGCAGCGUUUCUUCUGCAUCAUGAAGAAGCUCAUCUAUUUGAAAUACUUCUUGCAACUGGCCACAAUUAAUAACUUUCACUUCCUUUAGAUCUUGUAGUGCGGGAGAUAAAGAGACCAUUUCCAUGCAAUUCGUUGCUUCCAACUUCUCUAGUUUUUGUAGAAAUCCCUUUGGAAACUGACCGUUGCACAACAUUUUCAUACUAGUCAUAUCUUGUAUGACUAAUUCCACCAAAUUGAAGAAGGCACUGGUUGAGACAUGGCCUUCUGUUGUAUCAAUCAAGCAUUCCAGCUCCUUGCCAUCUUUAAGUGCAAGAAAAGUUAGUUCAUUCAGUCCCUUUGGAUCUACAUUUGGAACCAGAUUUUUGUGAUACAUGACUCUUGUCAGGGCAAGACUUUUGACAUUGUAUAAUAACUCCUUUACUGCAUUAAUUUCAAUGUCCUGAUACAUUCACAACAAAAUGAAAGAUAUGAGAAUAAUAUGAAUAAAAUUUAAAGAUCUGGGCCAAAAAAAAUAUCUUUUCCAAUGAAAGCUUAUUAAAGUCAAAAAAUAAACCAAAGCUUAGAGUAUCAAUAGUGUAUAUUACACUUACGAGUAGAUGUGAAUGUAGUAAAAAUUAUUGAUGGAAAAUAUGUUUUUUUAUGAGAUAAAUAAUCAAUUUAUAAUUACCAGAAGUAAAACUGAAACGAACACAAUGUUAAAGGAAUUACUUUCAACUGAUAUUGCCACGUAAGUCCUUGUUGAUUUUGGGAAUGACUCAUUACUUGGGGUCGGGCACCAACAUUGGAAGCUUCCAACCCUUUGAAAGAUGGCAACUUGACAAAACAGUUUCUUGGACAAAAGCUCCUCAAGUUUUCUAAGUCUUCAAGUCUUAAAAACUGUAAUUUAGGGAGCAUAAUAUCGUGCUUAUCCUCUUCUUUUGCCAUGUUGAAGACAUGCAUUAGUUGAGGGCAAUCAAUUAUCUGAACUGAUUCCAAGUACGGAAGUCCUUGAGCCAAAGUGAUGGGAAACACAUAUCUCAAACUUUUGCAACUAGCUAUCUCAAAAGAUUUUAAUUUUGGCCAGCACAGAAGAGAGCGAUCCUUGUUUGAAACUAUUUCAUCACCAUUUUCUGCUUCCAUGAUUAAAUGUUUCAAGGAGUUGCUUUCCUUUAUCUUGAGUUCUUCCAGAUGCACCAAAGCUUGAGCAAGGGUAGGUGAAAAGAGAUAUUCCAAUUUAGAACAUGAACCAAUUCUCAUAGUUUUAAGGCUCUUGAGCUUAACAAGAUGGGUGGGUUCUCUCCAUAUGCACCUCAAUUCUGGUACAGACUCCAACUCCAAACAAAUUAAAUUUGAGAGUGGUGGUGCCUGAUUUUCCUGACAUAAAAAAAUUUAUUGAUUAAUAAUUAUUUAAAUCUGAAUUAAUUGCACUUGUUCAAAAAAGUACUUAAAUAUUAACGACAUACAUUUUUAAAAAAUUUAAAAGGAAGUGUAAAAAACCAUAAUUUACAAAGAUUAGAACAGAUGAUUACUCAUAUAUUUGAUAAUUUAACAAAAAGAAAAAGUAAUUAGAUAAAGAACAGAUACUAGAAUUAUUAAAGGAAAAAUGGAGAGAUAAGAGGUACCUCCAGCUCAGCCAUAUCUUGGGCAAAAGCAAAGACUUGCUCUAAUUUCUUGCAUGCAGAUAUCUUGAGUUGUUCAAGAUGCAACAAACUUUGAGCAAGGCAAGGUGAGAAGAUAGAUUUCAGUUUAUCACAACCAUCAACUUUUACAUCUUUCAGACUUUGUAGGCUCACAUAAUGAGUUGGCUCUUUCCAUAUACUCUCCAAUGCCGGUAAUGACUGCAGCUCCAAGCUUCUUAAAUUUGAGAUUGACAGCAUCUGACCAUUCAUUUGAAACACUGAUUGCAACUGUCCACAAUCGCAAAUGAUCAAUGUUUCUAAGUUUUGUAAGAAGCUAUUCGGUGAUUGACCAUGGCAUAACUCUUUCAAAGAAGUCAUUUUACCAAUGUCUAAGUUCACCAAAUUAGAGAAUGCAGUGGUUGGACUCUGUUCCCAUGUUGUAUCAAUCAAGCAUUCCAAAUCAUCGCAAGAUGUAAGCUGAAGAGAAGUUAAUUCAUUUAGUCCCCACUGAUCUACAUUUGGGACAACAGUUUUGUGUUCCAUGACUUUGAACAAAGUCAGCUUUUGCACAUUGGGAAACAGCUCCUUAAAUGCAUUUAAUGAUGAGCAAUCACUAAUUGUCAAUAUUCUCGAGAUACGCUUCUCCGGAAAUUCAAUAUAUGCAUUUACUGCUAUACUGUAGCUUUGUAGUUUAGGGAACACAAAGUUUUCUUGAAAACAUUGAUCAGUAGAAACAAUCAAUGUUAAUGUAGUCAAACGAGACAAUGAAUUCAACUCCAGUAAGUUAGCAUUGUUGUCUCUCGGAACGUGUAGCUCUUGGAGUGACGUUAACCUGUUACACACAAAUAUGAAAUAUCAUUAAGGCUGAAAUAACACAUUCAAGCAAAUGAUAAAAAUGGCUAAGUAAUGAAAUGAAUAAGAUAACAUGCUUAGAGAAAAUGUGUGCAUUCCAACCAAAAAAGGCGAGCUUCCAUGAACAAGAACAGAUCACAAAAAGCAUAAAAAGUAGUCCAAUCAUGAUACUGCAGACCAAAUGGAGUAGCAUGAAUCCAGGAUACUAAUCAAGCAUGACAAAUCAUCGAAGACAGAGGCCAUAGAAACAAGAGACCAACAUAUCAAACAGUCUCAUAAAAAUCCAACAAGGCAAAGGUGAAUAUAUUCGCACAAUCAGAUUGCCAGCGGGAAACAACAAAAUUAAAUACUUAACUAAAAACAAUAAGAUAAACAGUUUUAAUGACAUUUAAGUAUUACCUUGAUAGCAAGUUAGGGGGGACAUUGAUGGGUCCAUCUCCAAAGCAAGAAAAGUAUAGUGACUUCAGUUUACCCAACUCCACUAAUUCUUUAGGUAGCUCUUCAAGAUCAACUUUAACCAAUUCCAAAAACUCAAGGUCUUUCAGAUUUCUCAAUGAUGAGAUGUCCUCAAGUAGGUGACACCUUCUAAUGGAUAGAGUUCGAAGAUUUGUUAGGAAUUGAAACGCUUUCAUUGAGAAUUCAAAACGUACAAGAACUAAAAUUCGGAGGGUUUUCAUUCCUUCAAAAAAUGUACUCGGGACUAUUUGGUAAUCCGUUCCCGAUAAAAUCAAAGUCUUGAGUUUUGAAAAUUCUAAUCUCUCAGGAAAAUUAUCUAUCUUACUAUUCCAUAAGGAGAUUGCUGUAUAACAACCAAAAUUUUCACUGUUAGGCCAUUCCGUCAACUCAUUUUUUACCAUGAACAUUUUUUCCCCUGUGGAUGUUAUCCAAUGAGCAAAAUCACGAACCACAUCAUGCAUUUUUACAGAUUCUUCAUCAUCAGUUUCCAAUAACAAACCAGACUUUUGAAGUUUUGAUAGUGCUAGACGAAUUUCCCUCCUUAAAUCUUCAAUUAAGUUAAUAUCACAAAACAAUCCCAGACCAAGUCCAAUUACUGUCAACCGCUCACUAUCAAUCUCAUAAUCUUCUGGAAAAAGAGAACACAACAAGAAGCAAGACUGGAUAUUGUCUUCCUUCAAAUAAUCAUAACUAAGCUGAAGGCAGCUAUAGAUAUCUCCACAAACAUCUUGAUUAUCCAAAGGUCUUGAGUCCUUGAGUCGUUGAUUUGCUGCUAUCCACCCAUCUAGACUUUCACCUUUUAGAGCAUUUGCCACAGUUACAAUUGCAAGAGGCAAACCCUUGCAUUCACGAGCAACCUCCUUGGCUACAUCGUUCACGGUGAGAGAGACAUGUUCUAGACUAGCAUUAUCUUUGAAUAAAGCCCAUGCUUUAUCUUCAGAUAAGAUUUCCAGUUCAAAUUUCUCUUGACAAUUCAUUUGAAUACAAACUUGUUGAAGACGUGUAGUUAGAAGAAUUUUGCAACCCUCGUGUUCACCGCCGAAUGGAAUUCCUAUAGUUUGCAAUUCAAGUUUUUUCCAAACAUCAUCGAGAAUUAUGAGAAUCUUCUUCUCGCCUUUUAAUCUCCGCCAUAACUCUUCUGCUUUUCCUUCUUUCGAAUUUUUCUCGAAUUUUAAACCAAAGAUAUCUGCAAUUUUAUCUUGAAUUUUGUUGAUGUCUGGAGUUUGGGACACUGUAACAAUCACAACUUUAUCAAAGAGCUUUUGUUCCUUUUCCUGUACUUGCUUACCCACUACUUCCGCCAAAGUUGUUUUACCCACUCCUGGCAUUCCGUACAAUCCAAUCAUGUUCACACCAUCACUUUUUAAAGCCUUCAUGAUCCCAUUGAAAGCUGAAUUUGAAGAUUCGGAAGUCAUGAAAUCCUUGGGUAGUAGGAACUCUAUUCCUUGAAGAGGAGGACGCUGGCCGACUCGUUGAAAAUUAUAAGUCUCUAUAAGUUUAGAGAUACAAAGUGUCUUCUUCGCUACUUUGAUACUUAAGCAGUAUCGCCAGCCGCAACUAGGACACCAAUUGAAACACGUGUUACGUUCUAUUUCUUCAUCCAAACUCUGAGCUUCAUCCAAUUCUUUCUCUGCCUUUUCUAGCCACUCCUCAACGCCCUCCUUAAUUACCUCAGUUUGCCUUAAAGCCUCAUCUCUAGCAUCUUUCACCUCAUCUCUUUUUGAUUUAAGUGCUUCUAGCUGAUCCUUGAAUUGCUUAACAUUUCUGCCAAAAUGGAAAAAGUAAGCAACAUAAGGUGAGGCGCAUUCUGUUGCCAGGUUCCCCAUGUAAUUGGCAAUAACAGAGACAAGACAUUCGAGAGCCAUUCUUUGAUGAUCUGAGACUCAAAAACAAUUUGGAAGAGUAAAAAGUUUUGCAAAUAUAAAACAAAUACACAAAUAAAGAUGAAAGAAUUACUUAAUUUGAAAAUAUAAAACAAAUGUCGAUGCAUCUAAAUUUGCGAAUAUAAAACAAACACAAAUAAACUAAAGAAGAAAAAGAUGAAGAUUUACGUACCAAUCAAAUCUAUAGAUGAACUUUCAGGAGCCAAGACGGUGAAGGUUUUUUUUAUUUUUUUGUGUGUGUUCAAAGAAAACUGAAGUAGAAAUGAACUCUGCACUGCAAUGAACAGAAGGUCAAGGAAUUAAAAACUAACAGACUUUCACUUAUCUUCUUUUUAACACGUAUAGAUAAUUCUGCUUCUGAUAGAAAAGAACAGAGCAAACCAGAAAAAGCAAAGUAAACAGAGCAACUCUUUAAGGCAAGAAGAUUUUUUUUUUUUAAAGUAUCGCCAUUCUUUUCCUAAAGCAAAGAGGUGAACUUACAAAAAGAAAUUAAUAGUGGAAAAGGUACUGAAAUCCUUUCUGGAAACUUACCUCUCUAUUCUCACCACUUGAAUGUGAAAGGGUAAGAGACAAAACACAAAGUUUCUAGCUCUCUGCUUCACACAAAUGCCAUGGGUGGAGUGUAACUGUUUAAGAUCAAAACAGUUAAUUUGGACAUAGAAAAUAAUUCAGUGCCAAUUUUGCAGGCAAAGUUUGCAGAUGUAUACUCAAAUGCAAAAACCAAGACAAAAAUAAGCCAUCGAAGAAGAAGAUGCACAUAUAUACCAAGGAAAGAUGAAGUUUCAGGAGCCAAGGCCAAGCUUUUCUAUAUUGUUCAAAGAAAACUCAAGUAGAAAUCAAGUUUGAACCGCAAUAACCAAAAUCCCAGUAGCAAAGGGAAUUAAGAAACAACAAAUAUGUGUCAAUCUAAGAUGAAAAGAAUAACUUAAUUUGAAAAUAGAAAAUAUGUGUCAAUGCAUCUAAACUUGCAAAUAUCUAUACUCAAAUGUAAAGCUAAGACAAAUAAAGCACAGAAGAAGAGGAUGAACAUUAACAUACCGAAGGAAAUAUAUAUGAACUUUGAGGAGCCAAUUAGACCGAGCUUCUAUUAUGAUCCAGCCAAAAUAUAUUACAGAAAUUAACAACGUCGAUGGAGGUUUUUUUUUUUCCUUAUUUUUUUUUUUUGAGUAGAAAGAAAAUUGAAGUAGAAAUCAACUUUGCAUGCACUGCAAUGAUCGAAGGGCCAGGAAAUUAGAAAACAACAAUUUUGCCAAAACGGAAAAAGUAACUGAGAUAAGGUGAUUCUUUGAUGAUUUGAUACCGAAAAGCAAUUUCUAUGAGUAAAAAGUUUUACAAUGGAGGCAAAAGCAAUUACGAAAUGUUUGGAAAGUAUCUUACCUUCGCAAGAAUACUUUUAUGAAAUAUGUGAAUCACAGGAGAACUAAUUGUCAAACCGACCAACUUGUAAAGUGAAAAUGCUGCACAAGUAGAAAUUAUCCACUGGUCAUGUGUAUAGUAAUUAGAAAUAUAUCUCACAUGUUAGAGUAAAAGCAUAGUAUUAUGAUUCUAUAAAAUACUUUCUCAAAAUUUAAAAUAUCCAUUGAUUUCAGUUUUUUCCUAAUAACUACAGAUUUUAUUUAACCAUCGUUGUCAUGGCUGGGAAAGAAGUAAAAUGCAAAUUAAUUAAUUUUAUUUGCCAACUGAAGAAAUCAAGAUGUCUAAAGAGAAAUAUAAAGCAUAGCAAAAAUUAUAUAUGGAGAAGCUUACAUCACUUCGAAUGGAUCUUCAAAAGCUGCAUGGACUUUUUCUUCACCAACUCUGAAGAUCGGGAAAGUAAAAUUGAGGACUUCUUUCUUUAGAUAGAAAGCAGAGAAAUCAAAAUCAGAGAGCAAGAGGCUUUCGGUUUUUUGUUUUUUUGGGGGCUUUGUGGAGCUAAGGAAAGGAAAAGUUGGGAUCAAAGAACAGUUUUUUUUGUCUGAGUUUAAAGAAAAUGAGGAAAGUAGAAACCAAUGAAAAUAAACCAACAGAGAUGCUUUCUUUUUUUGAGUUGAAAGAAAAGCGGAAAUAUCAAGGAAAAUGAAAUGGAAGAGUAAGGCAGAAAUCAAACAGUGUUUGGUGUAGUGUAGCUGGCAGAUGCGGAGAUGAUAGAAGAAGAAGCUUGAAUGGAAACUCUACGGAGACAAAGUAGUAAGAGUAGGUGUAGGAAAUUUGGAGUACUAAAAUUCAAAUUAGGAACAAUGGAAAAAUAUUAGCAACUUGGCUCACAGUCCCCAUGUAAGAUUCUCUUUUCUUUGAUAAUCUAGCUACAAUGCGAAAGCUAAUGCUGUACUUUGAGAAAGUUUGUUUUGUUUAUUGUUUUUCGGUUGGCUUUUCUAUAGUUAGUCUGUCCUCCUUUUGUUUUUUCUUCCUUGGUUAUGGCGGUCCUCGAGACUCAAAUGUUUAUUUCUGCCUUUGGCCAGCAUGAGCUAUCAACAUUAUUAUAUAAUUUGAGGGUUUUUGUUUACUACUGGGACAAUUGCAUGUGAAUAUGUUAGAUAUUUUAUUCCAAUUUUAAUUGGGAAUCGGUAAAAUUUCAUUAGUCAAAAAUUAUUGGGUAAUUAAAUUUAUUUAAAGGGUAAAUAUACUUAAUGAUUAAGAGUUUUUGAUGGGUAGGAGUUCAUGGUGACAAAGUAAUAUGGUUUUAUAAAUAUGGAGUGGGUCUAAAACUUUAAAAUUAAGAUAGAAAUGCAAUAUAUUUUUGAAAUCAAGUUUUUUUUUUUUUAAUUUGAGAAAAAGGGAUUCAAACCUUACUCUUUAUGCAGGAGAUCAUGCACUAAUCAAUAACCCAAAUGCACAUAUGCAUAUUUUUGAAAUCAAGUUUUUUGUGAGAGUUUCACAAAAUUGUAGAGAUGUGAGAAAAGAGUACGGGAAACACAGGUUGCAUGAGAUCCAAGGUAUUGUAAACCUUGAACUAGUGGGAAUAAUUAUUUAUAUACCUUUCUCUCUUCCAAAAUAUUGUUAUUAUUAGAAAUUUAGAAGUAGAGUUAUACGUACGUUGAUCCUUCAUUUGGUUUCAAAAUUUUUUUUCCUUUUUUAAGUUAAUUUCCUUUUUAAAGAAAUUAUAUUAUGUGGCCGAAGGACAUGAGCUCUUAGUGAAAUUGUAUUUAUGUUGCUGAAAUCAAAUAGAAACUAAAAGAAAUAUCAUCAAAAACAGGGGUCAAAGGCUUUUACCUUUUUUAUAUUGAUGCUUAUUCCAACUUUCAUAUUUUAGCUUUUUCCUUUAUAUUUGGUCUUUGAGGUGAUGGCCUUGGAGUGGUAAUGCCUUCUUCCAACAAUUACUAGUCACCAAUUGUGAUCAGGGUUGUUAAUUAAUCCAAGAACCUUAAAUUUGAGACUUUAAUUAUUUCUUCUCAUAAAUUUUGGAUAUCAAAAGUUCGAACAUAUCAAAAUUAAUUAUGAGAAUUUCACUCUAAAUUAAAAUUAAUUAAUUAAUACUUUUCAUUCCAAAUAUAAGGUUUGAAAACAACGUUUUAAUGUUUAUUCUUGGACCAAAAAAUUUUGUUGCCUAGUGCCAAAACUAUCUCUAGCUUUUAGUUUGGAUUGGGGAAGACCCUUGUAGGACUCAAAUAGUCAAAUAAAUUCGUCUUAGGAUCUUGGGCUUUGGUUGAAAGUGCAAGACCUUUGACCUGAAAUGCCUCUUGUAUUCCACAACUUUUGAUUUUUAAUUCUAUCAAAUCUAGGAUGCAUUUUCCCUAAUCUUUUCCUUUUCUAAUACAAUAAUCCCAACCACCACAGCUUUUGCUAGUGGAAAAUGGAAUUAUCCAUUCACUUUUUUAUUAUUUUUAUUUUAUUAUCCAAGAACAGAUGCAGCAAAGACAAUUGGUAUUCUUCCAAGUCUUUUUUUAUUGUUAUUUUCUUUUAUUCAAAUAACAAUGAACCCAAACAUAUUUGCUUUAUGGAAUUAUUGGCCUCACUUUUUCAUUUCUUUCUUUUUUUAAAAAAUAUUUUAACAAGUAAAAAUAUCUCACUCUAAAGUCUUAUAUUAUUAAGCACACAAUAUGUGUUGAUGAUUAUUAAAGGGAGAUUGAUAAGUAAAUCCAUCAUCUCAAGGAGAAAUUUCAUUUAAAAAAAUGAUUAGCAUUGAGAAAAAUAUUGGCAACUUGGUGAUUAAUAAUCAAUUCAUUAUUAAUAAGAGUAGGAAGUUUGGAAAAAAAUAUUGGCGACUUGGUGGUGAAUAAUGAAUUGAUUAUUAAUAAGAGUAGGUGUAGGAGUAGGACAUAUGGAUAGAUUAUUGGCAACAUGACUCAACGUCGUCCCAUUGAGAAAGCUACAAUGCCAAAGCUACUUUCAUACAUUGAACAAGUUUGUUUUAUUUACUGUUUUCCAGCUAUAAUUGAAAUACCCCAUACUUUGAUAUGGUGAUAAAUAAAGUUGAUCGAAUGCAAAUUGAGGUCAAUUAAAAUGUUUAGAAGUGAUAAAAGACGAAAGGAGUAGUUUAGGAUAAAAUAUUUCGCAAGUGAGAAAAUAAUAAUAAAAUAAUAAUAAUUUUAUUGGAGGAGAAUUUGUGAGAUAAAAGGUGAUUCGGAAGUCAAGUGAGGCAUAAUAAGGUAUUUUGGGUACGAAAGAGACAAGAUACAAUUUUUAGAAUAAAAUAAUAUUUUAUUAGUAAAAUAAUAUUAAAAUAUUAAUAUUUAGCCGGAUGUCGAAGUCAAUCAAGAAGAAGGAUCAUAUGGUUGAUCCAAGUGGGGGAGAAGAUGACAAGCGCGACUGUAUAAAAAUAUUUGUCAUGACAUACAUGUGAUGGAAAGCAUGUUUGCAUGCUAAGAGAGUCCCGAAAAAUUUACAAAAGUCGGUAUUGUACCUAGAUGUACAACAAAGUUGAUUUAAGCCUCGAACUAGAUCAAAUAGAGAAUUUACGAUGAAAUUAAGAAUUUUAAAGUCCCAGAAUGGUUUAAUAUGGUGAUUUAGAGUUCUAGGAUCAAUUUGGAGUCAAAUCGGAAUUUUCGCUAUCUAGGGACAAAAUGGUCAUUUGCCACCUAGGGACAAAAUGAGAAUUUUAGAAAAGAUUUUUUUGGCCCCAUUUGACUUAUUGGAGUAUAAUUUGACUUAUUGGAGUAAGAUUUGAGGUUUAGAAGUGAAAAAUUUUAAUUUCGGUAUAAUUUGGAGUAAAAGGGUAAAAUGGUAAUUUUGCCACCCUAGGGGCAAAAUUAUAAUUUUUCACCACCAGGACAUUUUUCCAGCACAUGGUCUUCCUUUAUCCUCAUUUUGACCAUUGACUAAUUGUGUGGUGGAGAUAAAAAGGAUUAAAAUUUUUAAAGUUUUAAAAACGGGGCAAUGACAUGAUGCCAUGUGUCAUGCCUUUAUUAAUUUAUUAUUUUCCUUUUUAAAAGGCACAAAAAUCAGCUCAUCUUCCACCCCAUGGCCGGCCAAACCAGCAAGAAGAGAGAGAAAACAAAAACAAAACCCUAGAGAGAGAAAAUCAAAGAAAAAGUGUGAAUUUUCAAGGAAAUUAAGUGAAAAAGGUGAGAUUUUUUCUAUUAAGCUUGAGUUUUCUUAUUCCCAAGCAUUUCUCUUUAUUUUCCAUGAUUAAAUUACAUGUUUUCAUGAUAAAUUCAAUUCUGAAAAAAUGGGUUAGGAGAGAGAAAGUUGUUAGAUUAAUUUGAUUUUAAGUUAUGUUAGUGUUUUAAGUUAGUUUAGCAUAUUUAGAAACAAAACAACAAGAAAAGAAUUUAUUUUCUCUCACAAUCAUUAAUGGCCGAAUUUAUCAUGUGUUGAGUGGGGAUAAAUUUGAUUUUCAUUUUAGGAGAAUUGGUUAAGAAAUGAUGAAUUAUGAGCCUAGAAAAAUAAUGAAAAUUUUCGAAGCAAAAAUACGAUUUUUACCCACUAGGGGUAUUUUCGUAAUUUGCUAUCAAGAUUAAUAAAUUGAAUCUUAUUCACAGUCAUGGAGGUAAUUUAGUUAUAAUUGGAGUGUAGAAAGUGAGAAGAAUUGAUUUGGAGUUAAAUUGGAGAUAAUAGGCCGAAUUAGGUCAACACCGCAUUUAAGCGAUAGUCGGAUAAGUUGUAUAUCCUAUCAUGCAUAUAUACCGAGCCUGAAUUGAUUUUAUAAUGGUCAAGCAUUGAUGUGAUGAAUUAUGUAUUGUAGAUUGUGGAUAGGUGGUGAGCAAAGUACACUGGUAAAAGUACAGAAAUUGUGCUUGGAGAUUGGGAUUAGGAGUACAUCGACUCCUAGAAUAGUGAGUGAACUUAUUAUCGUCUUAAUUAUCUAGAGUAGUUUUAUACAACUAUGUGGUUUUAUGGAAAAUGGGUUUAAAUGGUAAAUUGCUAUGUUUUAAGAGAAAUUGUGAUUUUAUAAAAUGAUUUUAUAAAUUUUCUGAAAAAUCGAAUACUGAUUUUGAAAAUAAAGUAAUUGGAGACUGCCUGCUUGUGUUGCAAAUUUAUGGUUUUGAAUUGAAUGGCUUAUGACAAUAAAUGAGCAUGAAUGGCUAAACUAAUUUUGGUGUUAGAAUUAUUUAUACUGUGUAUUCAGCCUUGAGAGGCUAGGUUGCGAAAAAUUACCAUGUCAUGCUAGAAUGAAUUUUAUUGAUUGGUGGGUUAUAUAUUAAUUAUUUACUGUAGAGGGAGUUUUGUGGACUAGCCUAUUAGAGGGGCACGGUAAACUCCAUUAUAUUAUUACCUCGAACGGAGAGGCGCGUAGGGUAUCUCCUGGGGUAAAGCUUAGGGUUCACUUCACGCCAAACCACCACGUGAAGGGGAACUCAGCCAAUGCCAAGGACCGGCUGUAUUUUUCUCAAACUAAAAUAUAUGUUAAGUGUAUACAAAAUUUGAACAGCCUUGACGGACUCGGUUAGAUGCCCUGCGCAAGGUAUCACCGAGUAUGAGUUUUGGCACGAGCCAAAGUUUUAAGAAAUUCUUAAGCCAAGUUGAUUACUCGAUUUUUAUGGAUUGAUUUUAUUUGGUUGAAAUGAGUUGAAAGGUAAUGAAAUUACAGUAUAAUGAUUUAUUUUAAUUAUCUCAAUUUACUCGACUUUAGAUAGUUUAGAUGGUAUUUGUUUACUCACUGAGAUUUUAUAAUCUCACCACCCUCAUUUCCUCACAUUUCAGGCUCGAGGAAUUCCAUAGUUAGCUGACUUUGACAAAGACCUUCAUUUGGACUCGAAUCGGUAAAAGCUGUAAGUUUCCAGAUUUCGAUGCAUUUUGUUAGAUGUGCGCCCACGUGUCACUGUAAAAGAAAUUUUAUACUUUGGUUAUUUGCUUUAUAGUAUAUAUAAAUAUAAUUAACUUUUACGCUAUAAGAAUUAUAUACCGAUAGUUUUAUGAAAAUUAUUUUAUAAGAAAAUAGUUUAUUUUAUUGAAUAUUUUUAUUAUAUUCAAAUGGUCAAAUUUUCACUUCAAAUGAACGUUUUAGAUAUUUAAUUUAUUUUUAAAUCAUUAAAUAUAUAUUUUCGGCUUACCUACUACAUUUUUAGCAAGUUUCGAGGUUUUCGACAAAAAUGACGAAAAUGCCCCUGUGAGCCAAAAAAAAAUAUGUUAUGUUAUGAUUUGAAAAUGAUUUGUAAUCCUUCGUAUGUUGAUAUUUGAUAACUAUUGAUCACCAGGGAAGUGCAAAAGCUGAUACGAGAGCCUUGCGAGGUUUCGAUUGACAUUCGGGGUGAAGAAUGUUUGUCGAGGCUUCGCGGCGGUUGUCAUGGGCUCGAUGGGGAGUUCCGGGUCGUGACAAUAAUCCAAAACAUCGUUAGAGAUCCUUUCAUUUCACAACUUUCAUGCAAAACAAAAGCUUGGCAAAUGAACAACAUCAUUAUUUCUUCAACUUAAAUUUUUUUAAUGAUUCACGAUAAUCUUUUUUAUUUAAAAGGUUCACAAUAAUCUUCUUUAUUUCCUCUCAAUUCUAUCAAUUUUAAAGUGGAAGACCCUUGACCUGAAAUGCCUCUUGUAUUCCACAACUUUUGAUUUUUAAUUCUAUCAAAUCUAGGAUGCAUUUUCCCUAAUCUUUUCCUUUUCUAAUAUAAUAAUCCCAACCACCAAAGCUUUUGCUAGUGGAACAUGGAAUUAUCCAUUCACUUUUGAAUUAAUUUUAUUUUAUUAUCCAAACAAAGGUGCAGCAAACACUUGGUAUUCUUGCAAGCCUUUUUUUAUUUUUAUUUUUUUUCUCAGCAAGUGAUUUCUUGUUAUUAUUUUCUUUUAUUCAAAUAACAAUGGACCCAAACAUCUUUUGUUUUAUGAAAUUAUUAGCGUCACUUUUCAUUUUUUUCUUUUAUUUAAAAUAUAUUUUAACAAGUAAUAAUAUCUCACUCUAAAGCCUUAUAUUAUUAAAGCAUGUUAUAUGUGUUGAUGAUUACUAAAGAGAGAUAGAUAAGGAAAUCCAUCAUCUCAAGGAGAAAUUUCAAUUAAAAAAUGACCAACAUUCAGAAAAAUAUUGGCAACGUGGUGAUUAAUAAUCAAUUGAUUAUUAAUAACAGUAGGCGUAGGACAUACCGAAAAAUAUUGCCAACUUGGUGAUUAAUAAUCAAUUGAUUAUUAUAAUAAGAGUAGGUUUAGGACAUACCGAAAAAUAUUGGCAACUUGGGUCAACGUCGUGCCAUUGAGAAGGCUACAAUGCCAAAGCUACUUGCAUACACUGAGAAGUUUGUUUUAUUUGUUGUUUUCCAGCUAGAAUCCAAAACAUUGUUAGAGAUCCUUUGAUUUGACAACUUCCAUACAAAACAAAACCUAGGCAGAUGAACAACAUCAUUAUUUCUUCAACUUUGAUUUAUUAAUAAUCAAAUUAAUUUCAUUUAACAUUUAUAAAAAAUAGAGCUUAACCUUGAGAAAAAUGAAAUUCAGAUACAUCUAUAGUGUAUAUUUUUUUCAUAAACUCCUUUACCCUUUUCAUAAUAAGAUAUCCGGUCAUAUUCACGCGUUCUUUGCAUUGAACAAACUAUUUACAGAGAACUUGCUCUAAUUUCAGGAAUUUUGCAAUUUUGUGUUGUUUGGCAUCAUCUUUUUCAAUGUGGACUGAUAAAUACUCUGAUUACCUCUUAUUGUAAAAUCAAGGAAAAUAAAAUGAAAGAGUAGGUUUUGUUGAGUCAAUAGAAGAGCAAGGGAAAAACCAAACAAAAUCUUGGGAUAGUGUAGCUUGCAGAUGCGGAGAUGAUACAAGAAGAUGCUUGAAUGGUAACUCUAUGAAGACAAAGUAAUAAGAGAAGGUAUAGGAAAAAUGGGGAAAUAUUGGCAACUUGGGUCAAAGUCGACCCAUGUGAGUUUCCCCACUAAUUAAUAAACAAAUAUUAUUCUAUGUUCUUUGAUUAUAACUAGCUACAAUGUGAAAGCUAGUGCUAUACAUUGCGAAAGUUGUUUAAUUUAUUGUCUUAUAUUGGCUUUUCUCUAUUUUUAUCCCCUUCAUAAGCCCUCAUGUCUUCAAUUUCUUACUCUUUUUCCUUCUGAAAAAGCAGCAGCUCGCGUGAGUGAAAGUAGGUAAGAAUUAAGCAGCUAGCUGCACAAUUCCUGGCGUGAAGCAUGGUUCACUUUUUGUCUAUGGAAAUGCAUUCUCCUUUUACAAUAAAUAGAUUAAUCAUCAAUUGAUUACAUUUCACACUUUGUUUAAGAAGUAGUAGCCUAAUCCCACCCACAUACAUAAUAUUAAAAUAAAACAAGAGCAUUUACUUGGUUAAUUGAUUGCUAGCCAACUUGACGGGGACUUUUGCAUUUACCUCGAUAUAUCAUUCUACUCAUUCUUUGAAUUCCUCUUGAUAAACUGACUGCUCUUUUAAAAAGAUUAUAACAAUUAAUCAAUCUUUAAUCAUUAUGACUAAAAUAAGUCUUCUGUCUUAUCAAGGUUAAAGACUUGGAUCAACAUUAUGUACCAAUGUCAUCAUCAAUUUAUGACAAAUUUGCUUUUCAAAAAAACCAAAAAAAAAAAUUUCCUGUAUACUUGCUCUUGGAGAUGGUGGCCUUGGAGUAGCAAUGACUUCGUCCAAUAAUUACUAGUCACCAAUUGUGAUUUCUUCUGCCUGGCCUUCUCAUGCAGAUUUUUAGUUGUUGUUUUCUUGAACCUUUUAUGAGGCGGUCCCUUUCUGUCAUGCUGUUGGACCCUUUUUCUGGUUGAUAUUUUAUAAUCUUUCUCCUCUGGGAAGGAGCUUGUACAGAACUUGCAUAGGAUGAUGGUAUAGGUGUUAAUAGUGUAGAGCUUCCUGCUUCUUGCAAGGUUUUGAUUGCUGCGGGUUUUUGUAAGGAUGUAAUGGGAUAGCCUUAUCCCUUUCUUCUUUUGAAAUAUAAUCUUCUUUCUGCUCUUUAAAAAAAAAAAUUGAGAGUUUAAUUAUUUCUUCUCAUAAAUUUUGGAUACAAAAAUUUCAAACAUAUCAAAAUUGUUGAUGAGAAUUUCACUCUGAAUUAAAAUUAAUUAAUUAUUAUAAUUGGUUCCAAAUAUAAGGUUCAAAAACAACAUUAUAAUGUUUAUUCUUGGACCCCAAACAAUUUGUUGUUUAGUCCAGACGAUUAAUAAAAGUUUAUUCUAUAUAUCCAAAGCUUUUACUUUGGAUAGCAAAAUUAGAUAGGUUUCUUAAACUUACCAAAUAAGAAGAUAUAUUGAUAUUUGGAAUUAGAUUUAUUUGAUAACAAUUAACUUAAAUUUGGGGAAGACCCCUGUAGCAUUCAACUAAGUCAUGUAUAUUAAAAAUAUUUUUAAUAACACGUUUAAAAAUGUGUUAUCUUAAUACAAAUUUGUUGUAUUGUCUUAUGUUCAAAGUAGAAGACCCUUGAACUGAAAUGCCUCUUGCAUUCCACAACUUUUGAUUUUUAAUUCUAUCAAACCUAGGAUGCAUUUCCCUAAUCUUUUCCUUUUUAAUACUAUAAUCCCAACUACCACAGCUUUUGCUAGUGGAACAUGGAAUCAUCCAUUCACUUUUUAAUUAAUUUUAUUUUAUUAUCCUAGAAAAGGUGUAGCAAAGACUUGGUAUUCUUCCAAGUCUUUUAUUUUUUAUUUUUUUCCUCAGUAAGUCUUUUUUUAUUGUUAUAUUUUUUUAUUCAAAUAACAAUGGACCCAAACAUCUUUUGCUUUAUGAAAUUAUUGGUCUCACUUUUUCAUUUCAUUUUUUUUAAAUAUCUCACUCUAAAGUCUUAUAUUAUUAAAGCAUGUUAUAUGUGUUGAUGAUUAUUAAAGGGAGAAAGAUGAGGAAAUCCAUCAUCUCGAGGAGAAAUUUCAAUUAAAAAAUGACCAGCAUUGAGAAAAAUGUUGGGAACGUGGUGAUUAAUAAUCAAUUGAUUAUUAAUAAGAGUAGGCGUAGGACAUAUCGAAAAAUAUUGCCAACUUGGUGAUUAAUAAUCAAUUGAUUGUUAUAAUAGGAGUAGGUUUAGGACAUAUCGAAAAAUAUUGGCAACUUGGGUCAACGUCGUCCCAUUGAGAAAGCUACAAUGCCAAAGCUACUUGCAUACACUGAGAAGGUUGUUUUAUUUAUUGUUUUCCACCUACAAUCAAAAACAUUGUUAGAGAUCCUUUCAUUUCACAACUUCCAUGCAAAACAAAAGCUAGGCAGAUGAACAACAACAUUAUUUCUUCAACUUUGAUUUAUUAAUAAUCAAACUGAUUUAAUUUAACACUUAUCAAAAAUACGGAUCAACCUUGGGGAAAAUGAAAUUCAUACAUUUUUACAGUGUACAUCUUUUUCAUAAACUCCUUUACCUUCUCCAUAAUUAGAUAUUUGGUCAUAUUCACACAUUCUUUGUAUUGAACAAAUUACUUAUAAAGAACCUUCUUUAGCUCCAGGAAUUUUACAAUUUUGUAUUGUUUGGCAUCAUUUUUUUCAAUGUUGAUUGAUAAAUACUCUGAUGACCUCUUGAUCGUAUUUGAUAGUGUUGCUUUGCUCACUUGCAAAUUAAACUUUUCUAAUACUCACUGUUGCAAUUGCUUUUGGGUACAAUUUGAAUUUUUUAUAUUGUAUUCACACAAUACUUUACGCAUUUUAUCCAUUAUUGUUGAUUUCCUUACACCAUUGAGAUGCGAAGCCAUUUUAUUUAAUCUUACCAUUUGUGAUAUUGUAUGUUCUUUUGUAUAUAUGUUUUUGCUGGCCUUAAUAUUCAUGAAGUAUAUUAAUUAAACCCUAAACCCUAUAUCUUGAUAAAUUAUUUUUUUAUUAAUUAAUAUAUUAAUUUAUAAAUUAAAUAAUAUCUCGAUUAAUUAAUAAAUUUUCUUGAAGUAUUAAUUUAUAGAAGUUUUAUUAUACUUCACCAACUCCAGAGAUCGGGAAACCAAAAUUAAGGAAAGGAAGCGUAGCACGGAUCAAACAAAAGUAAUUUAAGAGAACAAUUUUUUUUAUUUUCUUUUUCUGAGAUAAAAUAAGACUAGGAAAAUGGAAACCAAUGAAAAUAAACCAACAGAGAUGCUUUUCUUUUUUGAAAAGUGAAAAAAUAAAGGAAGAGUAAGGCAGAAAUCAAACGAAGUCUUUGGGGUAGUGUAGCCGGUAGACUUGGCGAUGAUAGAAGACAAUGCUUAAACGCAAACUCUAUAUAUGACGACGAAGUAAUAAGAGUUGGUAUAGGAAAAUUGGAAUACUAAUAUUCAACUUACGAACAAUGGAAAAAUGUUGGCAACUUGGUGUUUAAUAAUCAGUUGAUUAUUAAUAAGAGUAGGUGUAGGAAAUUUGGAAAAAUGUUGGCAACAUGGCUCAAUGUUGUCCCAUUGAGAAAGCUAUAAUGCCAAAGCUACUUUCAUACAUUGAGAAAGUUGGUGUUUUCCAGCUAUAAUCCACAACACUGUUAGAGAUACCUUCAUUUCACAACUUCCAUACAAAACAAAAGCUUGGCAAAUGAACAACAUCAUUAUUGGCAAUUUAAUUUUUUUAAAGAUUCAGGAUAAUCUUCUUUAUUUAAAGAUUCAAGAGCAAAGACAAAUCCUUCUUUACAUAUGGGAGGCUCUGGUCUCCCUAAAAUUUUUAAACUUUUUUCUGUAUCAUAUAAAUUUUUUUAUAUAUUCUCUUAAUUUGACCCCUUCAAAAUAAUUUUUUAUUUAAUAAUUAAUACAAAUAAAAAAUGUCAAACUCUAUUCUAUAAAAUAAUUACGACGUCAUUUACAUGCUCAAUAGAAUAUUUGCAUAUUUAGGAAGUUUGAGAAAUCGCUAAAAGAUGAUAUUGCCCCUAAUGGUAUCAUUAAGUUGAUUAAGCCUCAAACUAGUUCAAAUAGGAAUUUUAAGGUGAAAUUAAGAGUUUCACAGUUCAGGGAUGACUCAAAAUGGUAAUUCAAAGUUCGAGGAUCAAUUUAGAGUCAAACCAAAAUUUUCACUAUCUAGGGGCAAAAUGGUCAUUUGCCACCUGGGGACAAAAUGAGAAUUUUUAGAAAAGUUUUUUUUUGGCCUCAUUUGACUUACUGGAGUAUGAUUUGAGGUUUGGAAGUGAAAAAUUUUAAUUUUCGGUAUGAUUUGGAACAUAGGGGUAAAAUAGUAAUUUUGUCACCCUAAGGGCAAAAUUAUAAUUUUCCACCAUCAGGACAUUUGUCCAGCACAAGGUCUUCCUUUAUCCUCAUUUUUGACCAUUGAAUAAUUGUGUGGUGGAGAUAGAAAGGGUUAAAAUUUUUAAAGUUUUAAAAACGGGCCAAUGACAUGAUGCCACGUGUCAUGCCUUUAUUAAUUUAUUAUUUUUUCUUUUUAAAAGGCACAAAAACCAGCCCAUCUUCCACCCCAUGGUCGGCCAAACCAGCAAGAAGAGAGAGAAAAUAAAACUCAAACCCUAGAGAGAGAAAAUCAAAGAAAAAGUGUGAAUUUUCAAGGAAAUUAAGUGAAAAAGGUAAGAUUUUUUCUAUUAAGCUUGAGUUUUCUUAUUCCCAAGCAUUUCUCCCUAUUUUCCAUGAUUAAAUUGCAUGUUUUCAUGGUGGUUUCAUGGCUGGUCAUAUGGGUCUAGAGAGAGAAAAUUGUUGGAUUGAUUUGAUUUUGAUAUAUGUUAGUGUUUAGUGUUAGUUUAGCAUGUUAGUAAACAAAAUAUGUAGAAAAACAUUCAUUUUUCCCAUUACCUAGCCUUAGCUGAAUUUUCAAGUCAAUGGUGAGGAAGAAUGUGAUGUUAUUUUAGGUUAUUUGAUUAUGAAAUCAUGGUUUUUGAUAUGAAAAUUAAUGAAUUAUGGAAAGAAAAUCAAGUAGAAAAAUUUGUGGCAAUGAAGCACCAUUUUGGCCGAAUUUUUCCAAGAAGGAAUAUGAAUGUGGCUUUGCUGAUUUUUGGGUUAUUUGGCUGGACAUUGGUGAUUUGAAGCAUUAGAAAAAAGAAAUGGGAUCAAUUGGAGCUAAAUUGGAUACGUAUUUCAAUUUAUCGGGUAAAAGAUCGAAAUAGGUCAAUACGGUGUUUAGGCAAAAUUUAGACCUUUGGCAUUCCAUAUCAUGCAUUAGUAGUCUAAAUUAGUUUAAUUUCAAUUUAGCACCAAUGUAGUGAAUUAUGUAUUGCACAUUGUGGAUAGGUGGUGAGCCAUUGGAUACGGGUAAAAGACUGUACCCGCGGACUGAAAAUAGGAGUAUUUUUUUUCCUAAUACUGUGAGUGGACAAUUUAUCGUCUUAAAUAUCUAGAGUAAUUAUACUUAUUUGAUGCUUUUAUUGAAUGGUAAGUUUAAAUUAUAAAAUAUUAUGUUUUCCAAUCAAAAUGUUUUUUUUAUAAAAAUGAGAAUUAUACUGGCUUUGAAAUCAAAUAUUGUUUUGGAAAAUUUGAGUAUAUGAAGACUGUGUUGAAAUUUAUGAUUUUAUAUGUUAUUGAAAUUGUGGCUUAUGAUACUAUGGUUGCAUAAUGGCUAAAUUUUUGGGGUUGGCAUGAAAUAUAUGAACAGUUUUGGAUUGGUCUCGAUAGACUGGAUUAAAUUUUAUUCGCCAUAUUAUGCUACUGAAAAUUUUAUGGGUCUGGUGGUAUAUUAAACGGUCACUGCAGUGGUGGGGGUUUCCGUGGACUGCCUAUGAGAGGGGCAUGGUAACCCAAUUAUAUAUUUACCUCCGGGGGCAGAUGUUGGAUGAAAUAUCUCCUGAGGUAAGAUUUGAGUGCACCUUACGUUCGGGCCACCACGUGAGAGUGAGACUCAGCCAACGCCAAGGAACGGCUGUGUGUCAGAUGUGAAAAUAUGUUUAUGGGUAUGGGACAUUUAACAGCCUUGGGGGUCUCAGUGGGAUACCUUGACGAAGGUACUCGUGAGAAUGAUUCUAGCAGGGGCCAAGUUUUAAGAAAUUCAUAAGCAGAGAAAUUUUGAUGAAAAGAAAUUGUUUGGUAUAGAUUGAAAUAAAUUUUGCGUUAUGAACAUUAUUGAGAUACAAUGUUUUUAUAUUGUCUCCAUCUACUCGGCUUUAGAUGCUUUUGAUGGUAAUUGUUUACUCACUGGGAUUAUGUAAUCUCACCCCUCUUCCUAUCCAUUUUUCAGGCUCAGGACAGUUUGUUGAUAGUUGAUAGACGAGAAUUAAUCUCGGAGUUGCAUCCUGAAAAGUAAGGGUUCGUAGCCCUACACUUUCUUGGUCAGUUGGGGGCUCACGUAUCACUGUAAAAGUAAUUUUAUUCUUCAGUUAUCUGAUUUAAAGUAUGUAUGAACAUAUUUAGCUUUUACACCAUGUUUUUGGCAGGUUUCGGUAUUUUCGAAGAAAAAUGACGAAAAUGCCCUUGUGAGCCAGAAAAUAAUAUUUUAUUGUUUUGAUUUGGAAAUGACUUAUGAUUUUUUGAAAUACGAGAUUUAAUAACUGUCGCUCACCGGAGAGAUGCGGAAGCUAAUGCUAAGCCUUGCGGGGUUUCGAUCUGCAUUCGGGUAAUGAGUGCCUAUCGGGACGUCGCGGCGGUUGUCACGGACUCGAUGGGAGUUUCGGGUCGUGACAAAAAAUAACAAAAUGAUUUCAUAUGCCUUACACAACUUUAAAGUUUUUUUUUGUUCUCUUCUUUCAAUUUAUAUUAUUAUUUUUAUUUCUAGUUGUUUAUAUUUUUCAUUUCUAUUCUAUUUGCUCAUCUAUUCUAAGUUUUCAUACAUUUUCUUCAAAUUUCUACGAAUCAUUAAUCAUAUUCUUUUUCUUUUUUUUUGUUAUAUUAUAUGCGGGUUCUAUUUCCUACUUACCAAGAUCUUCAUUUUUUUAUUAUGUGAAUUUUAUUUUCUAUGAUUUUAAUCUUUAAAAAUUAAUAAAUUAUUCUGUAGUUCUCAAAUAUAAGUUGUAAUUUUGCACUUGCUUAAAAUUUUAUCAAUAUAUCAUUUUUUAUUAAUCUUGAUUAUGUAAGAGAUAAUUAUUUUGAGUAUAUAUUUUCUAUGUGCUUUUCGUUUUAUAUUUAGUAGAAAGGAAAUUAUCUUGAAUACAUGGUCUUUAAACAAUCCUCAUUAUAUAAGAGAAAAUUAUUAAUUUGUAUAUUGUAUUUAACUAUUUAUAUUUUAUGCAUUUUAGUUUUAUAUGUUUAGUAUUAUAAGUUUAAAUAGAAAUAAAAUAAGAAUGUUAGAUGUAAUUUAUUUUUGAAAGGUAAGAAUAUUGGAUGUUAACUGCGUAAUUUUGUUUUUCAAGUUUGAUUAAAGUAUGAGUAAGUUAAAAACAAUUGACAAAUUUUUUAAAAGAAAAGUUGCUAAUCGUCCAAAUGAUUCUUUGCAUUUGAGCCUCAAUACUUCAACUCAUGAACAAGAGCAAUUUGAUUCAAAAUGUCCAAAUCUCAAUGCUAAAGAAAUGGAUGUUUUUCAAUACAUAAUCAAUAAUUGAUGAAUUUGAAUUCAAAAAAACAUGUUCGAACACAACUUUCCUUAAGGACUAUUGUAAGUCUUUAUUUUCUUGAUUUACAUGUUAUAUAAAAUUUUCUAUUAUCAAUCUUUUUUAUUGUUGGUUAAGUUCAACAUAUUAGUUUUUAAAAUUUUUAACCUUUAUUCUUAUGUCUUUGGCCCCCAACAAAAGUUGACUAGCUCUGUCGUUUUUCACUAUAAUCUUCUUUAUUUCCUCUCAUUUCCAACAAUUUUCUACUCAACUCAAACUCUGUACAUUUCAAGUAAAACAGAUAUGAAACAACUAACUAGACAGAUAACUUUGGAAAAAAGUUAUGUUGAGUAGAAUUUCUAAAAUAAAAAAAUUAAAAAUUAUUUAAACAAAGAAAAGAAAAACAUACUAGAAGAAAGCAUGCUAAGAUGCGAAUUUAAUUCCAAUUCCAAGCUAUUUUCACCAUUAGGGCAAGAGAUUUCAUUGAAAUUUAUUCUUUCAACAUCAAUUUGUUGCUGCUCCAUGGUUAGAUUCAUUUAAAAUUAAUGAAUUCAAUUCUAUUGGAGGAAAAAAAAAAAGCAAUGAAGAGUCACAAGAAUAUAGGAAGCUAUGGAGAGUUAAAAGGUGCAUAAGCAAAAGGUGAGAGUAAUUGAGAUUAACUAAUAGUGAGAAUAGAUAAAUAGUAAUAUAAUUCAUUAUGAUUUGACCUGAAAAAAAAUUAUUUAAUUGAUUGUAAUUUAGAAAAUUACAAUUAUAAGUUGUUAGUGGAGAGUGUUCAUAGACAAUUAAUUAAGAGUGUCAAUAGCCCCACUCUUUGAGCUAAUUAAAUUAUAGACUAAUGUGAUAAAUUCUAAGCAAUAAUAAAGUUCACACCAUCUCUCCUUAAUUCUUAUCCAUGAGCUUUUCUUUCCCCUGAUUUUUUUCCUUUCUUUAUCAGAAAAUCCUCCUUAAUUCCUCCUCCUGAUCCCUGUAUCUGUCUUAUUAUUUGAUUGUCAAAGGUAUAAAUGGCACCCAGACAAAGCUUUUGUACCUUUUCUACUUGUGGCACAUGGAACCAUGAGCACUUUUGAAUUAUUGGUUUAUUUCCGAGUCUCUUUCUUACUGUUAUUUUCUUUUAUUCAAGUAACAAUGGACCCAGAAAUCUUUCCCUAAACCAAAGAGAUGAGUUUACAAGAAGAGAUUAAUAGUGGAAAAGGUACUGAAAUGCUUCCUCGAAACUUACCUCUCUAUAAGAGACAAAUAGAAGUUUUUUGCUCUCGGCUUCACACAAAUGCCAUGUGUGGAGUGUUAGCUCUAUCAGAUCAAAAGAGUUAACUUGGACAUAGAAAAUAAUUUAGUGUCAAUUUGCAUGUAAAUUUUGUAUAUGUAUCGUCUGAUGCAAAUUUUACAAGUUUCUAGGUGGGAACAGGGGCGGACCCUCCUUAAGGGAUGGGGGUCAAGAUUUUUAAAAGUUUUUUCAUAUUAUAGAAAAAUUUUAAAUUUUUUUUUAUAAAUUCUCUUGGUGACCUUUAAAAUAAUUUUUUAUUUAAUAAUUAAUUCAAAUAAAAACUAACAAAAUGAUUCCAUAUGCUUGACUAAGUUUUAAAGUUUUUUUUAAUUUUUUUCAAUUUAUACUAUUAUUUUUAUUUUUAUUUGUUUAUUUUUUUCAUUUCUAUUCUAUUUACUUAUAUAUUUUAAAUCUCUAUAAAUAUUCUUUCACAAAUUUCUACGAACCAUCAACCAUAUUCUUUUUUUUUUAAUAUGUCAUAUGUGCAUUUUAUCUUCUACUUGUCAUGUUUUUCUUUUUUUUUUUGUUAUGUGAAUUUUAUUUUUUAUGAUUUUAAUCUUUAAAAAUUAAUAAAUUAUUAUGUAAUUCUCAAAUAUAAGUUGCAGUGUUAUACUAUUACUUAGAAUUUUAUCAAUAUAUUAUUUUUUUAUUCAGAAUAAUUAAUGUGUUGUGGAAUUUUUGUUGCAAACUUUAAAUAACAAAGAUAUAUAUAUACAAAUUGACAGAAUAUUGUAUUUGUUUCAAUGCAAUUUUAUUUAUUAUUAUUUUUAAUGGCCCUCAAAAUAUUUUUUUAUUUAAUAAUUAUUUUUAUUCCUCAAGCCGUUUGAUAAAAUUAGAGUCAUUAUUGUCAACAUAUUGCUAGUUAAGCCCAGCAAAUAAAUUUUAACUUAAUAUGUUAAACUUAUCAAAUUUUUAAAAAAAUAAAAGUGAGUCUACUAACCUAAACCCACUAAGUUUUAAUAUAAAUCUAAACUUAUUAUAACUUAUUAUAUCUUACAAUCCAACCCAAUAGCUUAUCAUAACAUAUCAUAUCUCAAUAUUUUAACUCAAAAAAUGCAAUAUGUUAAUUAGCAAUUUAAGAGGUAAAUAAAAAAUAAGAGAAAAGCUUCCUAAAAAAAAUACCCAUUUCGUGUAGAACACAUAAAGUAAAGAGGCAAUUUAUUUAAGUUUGAAAAAUUAUUUUCUUUUUUACUUUUGCACGCUGAAAGUGAGAGAGAUUCUUUUAUAGUUCUGUUCAGUUAUAUAUAUUUAUAUGACAUCAUCAUUACUGUUAAUGUGCAUUUUUUUAUAUGCCCAAUAGUUUGUGAAUUUUAUUUAAUCUUUUAUAUGAGUGAGAAUUGACUUAUAUAUAGAGUUUUCUUUGACUGUUUAGUGUCUUAUUUGGUUUGGCCUCCUUUAAAAAUGCUCUAGCUCCACCCUUAGGUGAGAAAUUCUUCUUGAAUUUUGUCAUAAGUAAUGGAGUAUUUCAAAGGCAUUUCGAUAUCAAAGGAUUUUUUCUUUGUUGUAAAAUAAUUCCACCAUUUCUAUGCCAUGGAAAGUCUAUUACACUAAGAAAUGAGACUUGGAAUGGCAUACGGGUUGCUAACUAAUAAAAUUACUUUUUUAAAAAAUAUAAAAUAAUUAAGAAAAAUAAAAUUAGAUAUUGAAUUUAAAAUUGAUUUAUUAAGGCUAAAAGCAUAAUAUAUAAUUAAUUAAGCACCACGUUAAGUGGGUGUUGUGAAAGUGCUAACACUUUCCUCACAAGUAAUUGUACAUUCAAACUUAGUUUAUUUUUGUAGACUAGAAUCUAUUAUUUUAAAUGAACUUAAGUCAAGUUUAAGACCUCGUUAAAAUGUAUAAAUUCAUUUCAGUGACCAAUCACACAUAAACAAAAAAGAUUGGUAACAACUUCUCCUUUAUGUUGAAUAGUUGAAUUUACAGACUCAUACAUUAUGAUAGUAAUUAUGGCAGAAACAAGUCUUCUGCCUUCAUCAAGACUAAAGACUUGGAUCAACAUUAUGUACUAAUGUCAUCACCAAUUUAUGACAAAUUUUCUUUUCAAAAAGAAAAAACUUUUUCCUUUAUACUUGUUCCUUGAGGUAGUGGCCUUGGAGUAGUAAUGGCUUCUUCCAAUAAUUACUAGUCACCAAUUGUGAUCAGGGUUGUUACGUAAUCCAAGAACCUUAAAUUUGAGACUUUAAUUAUUUCUUCUCAUAAAUUUUGGAUACCAAAAUUUCAAACAUAUCAAAAUUGUUGAUGAGAAUUUCACUCUAAAUUAAAAUUAAUUAAUUAAUUAAUUAUUAUUGGUUCCAAAUAUAAGGUACAAAAACAACAUUAUAAUGUUUAGGUCUGACUCAAUAACUUUAAAGGCCCAAAGUAAAAUAUUCAAAUGAGGCCUUUUUUUACUAAAAUUAAGAAAAAAAUUUUAUUAAAAUUUUUUUCUUCUAACUUCUUGAGAUGUAAAAUUUCUAAUUAAACUUUUAUAAUCAAGUUGUUGUAAUAUUUCUUUAAUAAUUUUUGAUUCAUUAAUAAUUUAUGAUUCAUUAUUUUUAUUACUUGUAAAAAAAUGAUUAGCACUGAGAAAAAUAUUGGCAACUUGGUGAUUAGUAAUCAAUUGAUUAUUAAUAAGAGUUUGGAAAAAAAUAUUGGCAACUCGGUGGUGAAUAAUGAAUUGAUUAUUAAUAAGAGUAGGUGUAGGAGUAGGACAUAUGGAUAGAUUAUUGGCAACAUGGCUCAACGUCGUCCCAUUGAGAAAGCUACAAUGCCAAAGCUAAUUUCAUACAUUGAACAAGUUUGUUUUAUUUACUGUUUUCCAGCUAUAAUCCAAAACAUGGUUAGAGAUCCUUUCAUUUCACAGCUUUCAUGCAAAACAAAAGCUUGGCAAAUGAACAUCAUUAUUGGCAACUUAAAUUUUUUUAAUGAUUCAUGAUAAUCUUUUUUAUUUAAAGGUUCAUGAUAAGCUUCUUUAUUUCCUCUCAAUUCUAUCAAUUUUACAAAUAUAUUGAUAUUUGGAAUUAGAUUUAUUUGAUAACAAUUAACUUAAAUUUGGGGAAGACCCUCGUAGGACUCAAUUAUGUCAAAUACAUUCUUCUUGCAUUCUUGGGUUUUUUUAGUUGAAAGUGGAAGACCCUUGACCUGAAAUGCCUCUUGUAUUCCACAACUUUUGAUUUUUAAUUCUAUCAAAUCUAGGAUGCAUUUUCCCUAAUCUUUUCCUUUUCUAAUACAAUAAUCUCAACCACCACAGCUUUUGCUAGUGGAACAUGGAAUUAUCGAUUCACUUUUGAAUUAAUUUUAUUUUAUUAUCCAACUUGGUGAUUAAUAACCAAUUGAUUAUUAUAAUAAGAGUAGGUGUAGGACAUAUCGGAAAAUAUUGCAACCUGUUGAUGAAUAAUGAAUGGAUUAUUAAUAAGAGUAGCUGUAGGGCAUUUGGAUAAAUUAUUGGCAACUUGGCUCAACGUCGUCCCAUUCAGAAAGCUAAAAUGCCAAAGCUAUGAUCCAAAACAUUGUUAGAGAUCCUUUCAUUUGACAACUUCCAUACAAAACAAAAGUUUGGCCAAUGAACAACCCUUAGACUUUAAAUGGCAUUUUGCGGCUGCCGAGUCUAAUAAAUUCAUUUUUCAGAAAAAAAAAAACCAUUAUUUCUUUAACUUUGUUCAACUUUGUUGUCAUAACCCUAUUCUUGUGCACAGGGGUUGAGACUGAUUUUUGGUGCUGCCAAACUUUUAUUUGGUGCAGCAGGACUUUUGUAACUGUAUAUAACUUUGACAUCCUAAAGCUAAGUCUCUUUGAUGCCAUCAAAAGUCUUCUAGUGUUACGGUUCAAGACUUGUUAUGGCAUACUAGCCAGAAGUUUUAAUAAUAUCCCAAUUUUCAAAAAAAAAAAACAAAUUAAUUUCAUUUCAAACUUUGUUUAAGCAAACAAGGGCGUUUAUAUUUAUUGGUCAAUUGAUUGUUAGCCAACUUGAUGGGGGCUUUUGCAUUUACCUCCAUAUAUCAUCAACUCAUUCUUUGGUCUCUUAUUGUAAAACAGCUUGCUCAGCAAAAUUUUGUAAUAGCAAAUCAAUGUCAGGAUAUAUAGUUAAUUAUUUCAGAGAAAGUGAAAUGCAAAUUUUAUCUAAUCAAAAUCCCUUUCCUUUGUUGUUUAAAGAGUGAUUUUCUUUGUAGUUGACUUCUUAGUCUAAUUAGUCUUCAUAUAAUAUUUAUUAAAAUAUAUAAUAUAUUUCUUAGUUUAGUGAUUUUCUUUUUAUUAAAAUAUUUAUAUAAUAUAUUGACCUGUUUAAAUUAUCUAGACCUCAAUAAGUUAAAUUUUGAGCUAAUUAAAUUAUAGAAAAUUAUCCCAUAAACUGUCAUGGAAUUUAAAAACUUUGUCUAUGGAAUUAGAAAGUUGUCACAUAUUCAUUAGGAUAUAUUUAAAAAAAUUAAUAAAUUAAUCUGAUAAAUAAAAGAACAUUUUGUCAUGCCCUAGAUCCGAGGCAUAAUAGACGCCACACACCAAUAACAUAUAAUCAUACAGGCAUGUAAGGCACAAAAACAUAUAUCUUAUCCAACCAACUAUAGAGUCAAAUAUUUCUGAAAGCUAUAAUGAUUUACGAAGCUAAGUCUAUCAACAUAAUUCAAAGGGAUAUAAUCCAACAAUGUUUAAAAGUAAGCUUCCAAUACUAUAAGCUAAGAUGUCAAGAUAAAAUCAUGAAUAACAAAUUUAAGAUAGCUAAAUGGUCAUAACAUUUAAAAAUCUUGAAGCAAACUAACACCAUUUACUAGCCUAUGAAACAUCACUCCUUGAAAUUUCUCACGUGUUUGACCAAAUCACAACCUGCAAAAAAGGUGAAGGAAGGAGUGAGUCCAACAGCUCAGUAAGUGACUAACAUCUCUUCAGUCGGAUUAAGCAUGCACAAAACAUUUAAGCCAACAUUAUUUAUUCUCAUAUAAAUAUCAAAAACAAAAUUUUGGGUAAUCUAAUUCGGAUAACAGAAGUAUCUUAAUUCCAAAAUUUUAAAUAAUGGUUAAAAUAUGAUUUCACAAUUAUUACAUAUUUUAAUGGUCUCCCGUAACCUACUAUGGCCAUAUUUAAUGCCUAUGGCAUAGGUCAUAAUCAUAACAGAAACCACAAUUAACCCCAGUGGUAUAGGUCAUUAUCAUAUCGAAACCACAAUUAACGCUAGUGGCAUGGGUCAUAGGUAUAUCAGAAGUAACCAUUGACUGCACUAAAUAGAUAUCACAAAUACCACUAUUCUGUAACCGAUGGUGCAAUUGGAAGAUCGAUCUCUAAUCACAUAAUACAUGUCGACAUGGCCAACAUUUAAACCCAAUUGGCAGGAUCAUAACAUAGUCAUACUAGGAGACAAAACAAAAUAUAUUUUUUGAUUACCUAAAUUCAUAAAACAGUAUUAUUCACUUUUAUAAAACACAUAUCGUGCACAUCAAAAGUAUAUUUAUUUCAAACAAGGUAUAUACAUAUAUAUAUAUAUAUGUAAUAACAAAGAUAAUCAUAUAUGCACAUGUUAGACAAAAUCAUAUUCAAAUUUCAAAAUCAAAAAUCAUACUUUGCAAAAUUUACAUUCUAAAAUCUAACAUAUGAAAAUCAUAUAUAUAUAUAUAUAUAUUGCAUGCUCAACCCGAUUUUUUAACAAACUAUAAGAUAAAACAUAUUAUACAUAAUAUACAAAAUUCAAUUUCACAUUGAGGCUAAUAUUAGAAUGUGAAAACACCGAAAGGAUAUUAGUCACAUGAUUUUGUCAAGUUCAUUUUUAAGCAGCAAAUAAGAAAAUCCUCCUAGUUGCUUAAUAUUUCAAGAAAAUAUAUACAAAAAUCAAUAUUAAAUUUGCAAACAAAUUCGACAAGUGACUCUCUGUUGACCAUCCUAAGCACUUAGAGUGUGUAGCAACCUCUAUUGCAAUUUAGAAACAUUUUCAAUUAAUAAGGUAAUAUUUUAUUAUUAAUUUUUUUGUGAAUUAAUAAAAAUCAAAUAACAUUGAGAAUUAAACUUAAAUCAUAAAAUUAGUAAAGAUUUUAAUUUUUUAUAGAAAUAUAAUAUUAAUUUCAUAUAAAAAUCAUGUUUGUAAUUUUUGUUUAAUUUUUGAUAUUUUUAUAAAAUUUACUAACUUAAGGAAUAAGUUUACAAAAUAUAAAUAUAUACACUUUUAGAUAUAAAAAUAUAGUAGAAAUCACAUAUCCAAUAUUUAUGAAGUUUACAGCAAAAUUUAUCAAAUAUUAAUUAAAAUCACAUUUUAAAAAAUUACAAAAAGAAAUUUCUAUUUUUUGAAAUUUUCAGAAUCUAGAUGGCCAUUUGACCUACUUUGGGCUCUUGUAACUUUUAAUCUGAACUGCUUCCAGUAACAAAAUCACACCAAUUUGAAGUAUUUAUAUCAUACUAUAACACCACAAUUUGUUUCCAUUAAAAAGAAUACAAGAGUCCCAAGUUUCAAAAGCCAAAAUUUAGAAAUCAUCACAGAUUUACUCAAAUUUUUGAGUUUGUAGUAUCAGUGAACCUAAUUUGAGGCUUUAAUUCUCUUAACACAAGAAGCCCCUAACUGAGCUAUUAACAACAAAUUAAACAUCUCAUUUCAUACUACAAAAGCUCUCAAAGAAAUGACCCAAAAUGUUACCAGAAUAUGAAAUUCCGGUAACCCAAAGUUGAGUUGUCAAAACUGUUAAAAUUAAGUUUCCAGUUAACUUCAAAAAUUCGUAUCUUUCUACCUAUAAAGCCAAACGAGAUGCUACAAAAACCAUUAGAAAGUUACUUUCAAGAUCUUUCCAUUGGUACCCAUCAUGCCAUUGGAAAGUCACCGGAACAGUACCGGAUUUGAAUAAAAGUUAAGGAAAUAUAAAAUAAUUUAGGGAUUUUGCACCUAAACUAAGAAAAUACAACCCUAAUCAUACCUCAAUCAUAAAUUUCUUGAAUACUUUUCCCUUUUCUGUAUCUUUCUUCUUCUUCUCUUUCUUCUAACUGUCUUUAUCUUAUACCUGACUAUAAAAACUGAGUUAAUUUCAUUUUUUUUCAACUGAUUGCUUUCUUUUAAAUUUGUUGAGAUAAAACUAUUUCUUUUCUUUUUAAAACAUGAUAAGAUUAACUUACUGCUCUUCUUUUAAAUGUGCUAAGAUAAAACUGAAUGAUUUUCUUUUCUUUAUAGAAUAAAGUAAAAUUGAUUUAUUUUCUUUGUAAACAUGAUAACAUAAUAUAACACCAACUAAAAUAUAUCUACUCUAUUUUCUAAAAGGUCUUUUCUUCUUUUCUCUUUUUUAUUAAUAACCCUAAAGCCAUAUUUGCAAUUAUCAAAUAAAAUGAUAUAUUAUAUAUUUUUUUUGUAACAGUUGGUAUCAGAGCAGACUCUGAGUACUAGCAAUGUGCCACUAAGGAUAGUAGGCCCUUGUUGAAGUGGGGGAAGAUGUCACGGUCCUCGUCUGGAUGUGAAUCCCACAUCGUCAAGAUAAUGCUCCCUAGUGAGUUGAGCUAGGGAGAAACUCCUAGUGGGGAGUAAGGGAGAAUGUCGUAGUCCUAGAGAGAGAAGUCAUAAAUCUCACAUCGACUAUCUACUGGAGUGAUACUGGGAGUAUAAGAAUUUACACCACCUUCAACCUAUGAGGUGCUUUUUGCAGGACAAAACCGUGAGGACAACAAGCCAAAGUGGACAAUACCUCACAGGGGUUAGUGUGGACCGUGACACCUUUGACAAAAUUUUAAUUCUACUAAUCGAGUUAAAAACUCACCGAGGAUGUGUAGAAUAAUAGUCCUGAAAAUAAUCCCUUUGUUUUUACAAUCGAGGGACAUUGAUCUUUACAUGCAUUAGUAAUGAAGAUUUGUUGCUUUUCCUCCUAGCAUUUUGUGCUUAAUUACAUGCUUUUGUUCGACUUAUAUAUAUAUAUAUAGUAUAUANUUGGUAUCAGAGCAGACUUUGAGUACUAGCAAUGUGCCACUAAGGAUAGUAGGCCCUUGUUGAAGUGGGGGAAGAUGUCACAGUCCUCGCAUGGAUGUGAAUCCCACAUCAUCAAGAUAAUGCUCCUAGCAAGUUGAGCUGCAAAGUCCCACAUCAAAGAGAAACUCCUAGUGGGGAGUAAGGGAGAAUGUCGUAGUCCUAGAGAGAGAAGUCAUAAAUCUCACAUCGACUAUCUACUGGAGUGAUACUGGGAGUAUAAGAAUUUACACCACCUUCAACCUAUGAGGUGCUUUUUGCAGGACAAAACCGUGAGGACAACAAGCCAAAGUGGACAAUACCUCACAGGGGUUAGUGUGGACCGUGACACCUUUGACAAAAUUUUAAUUCUACUAAUCGAGUUAAAAACUCACCGAGGAUGUGUAGAAUAAUAGUCCUGAAAAUAAUCCCUUUGUUUUUACAAUCGAGGGACAUUGAUCUUUACAUGCAUUAGUAAUGAAGAUUUGUUGCUUUUCCUCCUAGCAUUUUGUGCUUAAUUACAUGCUUUUGUUCGACUUAUAUAUAUAUAUAUAUAUAUAUAUAUAUAUAUAUGUAUAUGCUUUCAUUAGUGCUUGUUGAAUUAUGGCAGUAAAAUGUUUAAUAGAGUUGAUAUGAAUGAAGUGACUAUAUCUUUUCUGCUUAUUGGGUUCCAUUGCUUGAAGCAUUUCUGCAGUUUCUGUAUAAAAUUCUUGGAGCAUUGGCUACAACUUGAAAAAAGGGAGCAUGACAGGAUUGUAUCCAAAUUUGCCUAUAUCUUCAAAUUCAGUUUAACUUCAUCAUCAAGAAAAGAAAAUCUCAGUUCAGAUUGUAGUAUUUCAAAUGCAUGCAUGCUUACGAAGUUCGUUUGGUAAUAUAUAGCACAAAAAGCAUUGUGAACCCAACUACGAAACACAUUGAUCCCAUCUAUUUUUCUAACAACAGGUGUGGCAAUACCAAUUCUAACAUUGGUUUUAGACCACUUUAUCAAAUUUCAAAGCCAUUUUUUAGUGCUUGUUUCCCCUGGCUUUCUUGGGAGAAUAUCAAGAUUAAGUGGUGCUAUAAAAGAAGGCCAUGUUAGGAAUGGCAGGGGGACAGAUUUUAAUCGGGUAUUCGAUGUGAUCAAACUUGAUUAAUGUAAUUUUUUAUAAUUAUAAUUGAAACAGAUCGGAGGAAUGAAGUUAAUUGGAUAUUGAACCUCGAUGGUAGAUUAUGGAAAUGGUGGAAGACAUUUCAGCAAGUGGAUUCUUUAAAGGAGGUGAUAGGCAGUGUAUUACUCUAUGAAUGCUUAUUUUUUGGCAAAGGAAGGUGCAAGGAAAGAGAUUUUUUAUUGGGUACGAAUUCAUGGUGACAAAGUAAUAUGACUUUAUAGUUAUGAAGUAGGUCUGAGUAUUUAGAAUUAAGAUAGAGAUGUAAUCUCUGUAUGAUUUUAUGGUAUUCAUACUUGACUUUUAAGCUCAUGUGACUAAUAUUCCACGGAAUAAUAAGAUAUUGUCAUUACCUUGAGAUUCACCUUUAGAAUUCUGAUUCUUCUAAUGCAGCUUUGUUUAUCCUGCAGGGAGCCUUCAAAACCAAACAAAGUGAGACAUAAUAAACAAGAAUUAUUAUAAUUUUUGUUAACAAGUAGUAUAGCACAUAACAAAAUAUAAACAAAAAUCAGUAACAAAGCAAAUUGCAGAUACCUCUAUGUCUUGGCAUUCACACGAACCUUGGAAUUGACAAUAAAUGUCAUAGUUAGCUUAGGACAGUCUUCAACUAUUGAAGAACUUAAAUUGGGAAUUACAAGGUGUCAAUUAAAUCUCUACCUACGCAAGUAUAUAUAUCGAAAAGAUACUAUAAUGGUAAGUAGAGUAUCGAUCCCACAAAAAAUUGACCUAAAAUUUCUCCAAGUACUAAAAUUAGAACAAUUUAAUCUUAUCCAAAUAAUCAAAUUCAAAUAACUAAAUUAAUUCACUAAAACUGAUUAAUAAAAAUUUAAACAAAAAGAAAAAUCAAAGCAAUAAUAACUUGGAUAAAAAUCAAAUCAAACAAGUCUAAGAUUACAAUAUCAAUCACACUUCAUCUAAAUCUUAACUCUCUUCCUAAACUUAUUUCCAUAGGUUGAAUUGCUAACCUAAAGUCCUCAGUUAUUCAUAAGGGUCUCCCGACUCAUCUUAUAAAAAUAUCUAUUUUAACAAAAAUACUAUAUCCUUAUAUGAAUUGAAAUUAAAACAGACUCAUUAAGUUCAGGUUCUAAUUUAGCUACAUAUUACCUAUAGGUAUAUCCCUAUCCUAUACGCAAAUCAAUUAAUAUGAUCAUAUGUUAUUCCAAUUUUAGUCUACACUAAACUCCAUUUCCAAAGUUUGUUUAGGUUUCUAGAUCAAUUUAAUUGGUGAUCAGGCAAUUAAAAGCAUUAAGAAGAAAUUGGAAUAAACAAUUCAAAUCCCAUUAAAGAUAAGCAAGAAAGAGAUUAAAAAUUUAGAUUACAUGUGAGUUUAAUUACAAUCCUAGAAAAAUAAAUUUAGCUCAUAAUAUCUAAUAAAAACUUCAUCCAAAGAAACUUAGCUAUUAAUCCAAGUCAAAGAACAUAAGAAAAACACAAAAGUAAAGAGAGAAAACUAAUAGUUAGAGCUUUGUGAUCUUGAUUCUCCCUUCAAUUCUCUUGUUUUCUUGCUUUGUUCUUCCAAUUCUCCAAAAUAGUUGCUUGUUACUUCCCCCUUAAAACCUCUGAAAAGGGUCCCUUAAAUAGGCUCCAAGUAACCUAAUUUUCAAAAUCUAGUCAAAUUUUUAUUUUUGGAAAAUCACCCAUCGCCGCAGCCUUGAUUUCUUGGUGCUGCGGCACUAGAUUCUUGCUACAGUAGCACUGCAGUGCUCUUCUUCUAGAGCUGCGGCGUUGAGCUCUUGGGAAAAUGUGUUGUGUGCUUCCUUUCACCAGUGCUACAGACUUGUUCUCCUAGUGCUGCUGCAAUCUGUCAACUUCGAAUGUGAUUUUCACCUUGAUUUGCUCCGAACUCUUUUUUGUCUAAGUUAUUUUAUAUUAUUGUCAAACAUUGAAUUUCUAGCAUGACUAUUUAAUUUAUAAUUUGCCCCCCCCCUCCCCCCGCCCCCCCCNNNNNNNNNNNNNNNNNNNNNNNNNNNNNNNNNNNNNNNNNNNNNNNNNNNNNNNNNNNNNNNNNNNNNNNNCCCAAUGUAAAAUACUUGGCUCCACCACUACAUGGAAGCACCUUGUCAUUGAAGCCAAUUUGGAUUCGACUAAUUUACUGAUGCUAUGUGAUAAGUGUCAAUUAAUUAAGAAAGCAGUGAAAUGUAUUUAUAUUGUUGAAAUAAAAUAAAAAUUAAGAGAGAGAUCAUAAAAACAGGGUUUAAUGAUCCUUUCAACUUUCAUCACUUAGCUUUUUUCCUUUACACUUGGUCUUUGAGGUGAUGGCCUUGGAGGUAGUAGUGCCUUCUUCCAACAAUUACUAGUCAUUUUAUAAUAAUCGGAAUUUUUUAUUAAAAUAUUUAUAUAAUAUAUUGCCCCUGUUUAAAUUAUCUAGAACUCAAGAAGUUAAACACUGAGUUAAUUAAAUUAUAAAAAAUUUUCCAAUAAACUGUUGAUGGAGUUUAAAAAUUUUAUCAAUGAAAUUAGAAAGUUGUCACAUGUAUAUCCAUUAGGUAAAAAGUUAAUAAAUUAAUCUGAUAAGUAAAUUAAAGGGCAUUUGACAAUGUUUUAAUUAACUUCACUAAUGGAGUUAAAAUCCCAUAGAAUAAUAAUCUUGAAUAUAAUCCCUUGUUUUUACAACUGAUGGACAUUGAUCAUUACGUGCAUUGAUAACGAAGAUUUGUUGCUUUUCCUUAAUUUUUCUUUUCUUUCUGUUUUUUUUCAUUGUUAUAUGUGUUAUAGAUAACGACAUCCAUCAUCUCUACGAGAAAUUUCAAAUUAAAAAAAUAUAUCAGCUUUGAGAAAAGUUAAGCUAAUAAACUAUUGGAAAAAUAUUGGCAACGUGGUGAUUAAUAAUCAAUUGAUUAUCAUAAUAAGAGUAGGUGUAGGACAUAUCGAAAAAUAUUGGCAACUUGGUGAUCAAAAAUGAAUUGAUCAUUAAUAAGAGUAGGUGUAGGGUUAGGACGUAUGGAUUAAUUAUUUGCAGCUUCCAUAUACAUUAAGAAAAGUUUAUUUUAUCUAUUGUUUUCCAGCUACAAUCCAAAACAUUGUUAGAAAUCCUUUGAUUUGACAACUUCCAUACAAAACAAAAGCUUGGCAGAUGAACAACAUCAUUAUUUCUUCAACUUUAUUUUAUUAAUAAUCAAAUUGAUUUCAUUUCACACUUUGUUUCACAAGUGGUAUUUAAACAUUUAGGCCGAACUUCGCAAGGGAAUCCGCAAACGAAUUGGCUUUUCUAAGUGUAUGUCGAAACUCGUAUUAAUAAAUCAAACUUAGGCCGCGAUCAAUAUCAUUAAAUAUUCUCCAAUGCAUCCAAGCCCUCCCUCGUAUUCAACUGCCAACUUCUUUCGUAACGACAUAGGGAGAAGAGAUUAACAUUUGCAAGGCUUGUUUAAUCCCCGCUAACUCAGCAAAAUUCGAUUCUUGAAUACCAAGUGAUCCAAAAAUACCCCAACUACCAAGCCCUCCUCAUUACAUAAGACCACACUACAUCCCGUUAGGCUCGGUUUGCCUCUAGAUGAAGCUCUAACCUACAUAACAUACUUGCAAAACUUUUCAAUGAGGAUUUAAAAUAUGAAAAUAAAGAUAAGAAAUAGAGGAAUUUCACUCUUGUUCUUCUACUUAUUGUACAUAGAGAAAACAGUAUAACCUGCAACAGAGAGCAACAUAACAUUAAUUGGCUUUUUUUUUUUUUUGCUCAGUUAAUUGGCUAAAUUACAGAAAGGAAGGAAUCCCUUUGCUUGACAACUCAUUAAGCAAACACCUUCAGAAAGGCACACAUAUUUAACCUCCACUUUUUUCAAGUAAAUAAUAAAGGUUAACACAAGCGAACCACCCAAACUUGAUAAGGACUAGGCAAACAAAAUAAAGAAAUGAAAAUGUUAAGCAGCCUUUGUUUUACCUGUGUUUAGUUAACAGCCUUAACCUUCUCAUUUAUUUUUAGAUAUGCCUUUGCAACUUCUCCUGAAAUCAUCUCAUAAUUCUUCCAUCUAAGGUGGUAGCACACCCUCCAUCCAACUGCGCCAAAAUAUGGUCUUCGUGUGAACUACAUUUUGAGUAGUGGUAGACCCUUUAGUGGUGUCUUGCUCAACCAGUUGGGGUGUCUUUUGAAAAAAUUGAAUCAGUGAAAUGUACAACAAAAUAUUAAUGACUCAUGUUAUGAGGGCAAAAUAAGAAACAUGCAUGCUAUAAUUUAUAAGCAUUUUAGGACAAAUUCAUAAAAGAUAUUACUUAAUCACGGAGAUAUGCUUCGCGAAGUCUGGUAAAUGUUUAAUUUAUAUACUAAAAUGAUAAAACCAUCUGAAUUUGAUUACAAGUAACAUUUGGAUUCGGAAAAUCUUUUUCUUUUAUUCAUUUUUGAAUAUUGAGAAAAGAGAGGUUUAAUAAUUUUCAAUAUAUGGAUUUUGGAAAGAUAAUGUUUUAAAAAAAUGUGUGUAAAAUUAAUGUGGUAGUGGCAUUCUCUAUGUUCCAAUUAGUUUUCGCACUCGUUUAAGAUAAUAAACGCUUGUUGUCAAAAUAAAUAAUUUAUGACCAAGUGCCAUUCCAAGUCUCAUGCUUGUUUGGCAGAAGACAUUCCAUGGCAAACAUAACCUGGUUUGGGCUUGAAGACCUGUCAAAAACAAAAGGAGUUCAUCGCUCAUGAGAAACAGGGACGAUGAAGCUCAAAAUGCCCCCAGCUGCAUCGCAGCUCACAGCCCCAGUUGCUAGAAUAUUUUUAAAUUUUUUAAGGUUAGUUUGGUAUUAAUUAAGAUUAGAGAAAUAUUGAUUUUUGUUUCCAUCGUGUAUGUUUUAUUAUCAGUAUUAUCAAUUUCAUCAUCAAGAACAACAAACUAAGCAUAACACAAGAAAAAGUUGGGUGGAUACCUCGGUUAUGGCAUGAACAACUCGUUUUGAAUCAAUGUUGAAACUUGUACUCAACUUGGGGCAUCCUCUUAGAAUAAAAUAAUCCAAACAGGGCAAUCGAAAAUGGUAACCAAUUGGGGCGAAACUCUUUAGGCUUGGCAGCUCAUCAAGUGGCAAUCCUUGUAAGUAAGGGAGCGCUAUUCCCUUCUGAUCAUCUUCAAAGUCUACUUCACCUUGAUACCCAAAGACUCGCUCAAAUUUUGAAGCCCCAUGAAUUGACAUGUUGCAGAGUCUUGAAAGAGAACGGGUGAUACUAAUAGGAAAUAAGCAUUUCAAAUUGCUGCACUCUUGAAUUUGUAUAACUGUAAGACUAGGGAAGGGUAUAGGUUGGCGAUGACCCUGUGAUGAUGAUGCUGAAGUUUGAUCCAUUUCAAUGAUUUCUUCCAAUUC
rnacentral:lncRNA from 1 species